ACUUCUUUUUUUGGGGUAAAAUAGAUUAUCUAAAUCUAGCUUUGAAUAUUAUUUAAAAUUUUGUGAUGAAUUCAGUGAGAAAAUAAUCUGUCAAUUUCGAUCCUGAUAAAUCUGAAAUGAACCUCGGCAACCAUGUCCAAAGGGUAAUGCAAAAAGGAACCCACCAGUUUUGCCAGUCUCAGUCUCAGUUCACCAAAAAUUUGCCUAAUUUAACUUGGAAAUUUAUGAUCGCCAUUCUUUAACAGUUCUCUUGGGUAUUCUCCCUCUCUCAUCCAUCAAAUUGCCAUUUCUGAGCUUUCAUUUCAUCUCUUGGAAAGAUGUCAAGAUAUACAGUAGAGUCCGCCACAGUUGAGACCAAUGAUGGAGUGAAGCUCCGGACAAGGCUCUUCAAGUCCAGAGACGAUGAGGUCAAAGACAAAUUGGUAAUUGUUCUUGUCCAUCAAUAUUCGAUCUUGGGUGGUUGUCAAUCUCUUUUGAAAGGCAUAGCAAUUGGGUUAGCGGAGAAAGGCUACAGGGCUGUGACUUUUGACAUGAGAGGUGCUGGGAGAUCUACUGGGAGGCCUUCUCUCACCGGGUUUUCUGAAAUCAAGGAUGUAGUUGCUGUCUGCAAAUGGGUUUGUGAAAAUCUAUCAAUUGACAGGAUUUUGUUGGUGGGUUCUUCUGCAGGUGCGCCAAUUGCAGGAUCUGCAGUAGAUGAGAUUAAUGAAGUAGUUGGAUAUGUAAGUUUGGGAUACCCUUUUGGCAUAAUGGCCUCAAUCCUUUUUGGGCGUCAUCACGAGGCCAUCUUAAAGUCUCCAAAGCCAAAACUCUUUGUUAUGGGAACCCAGGAUGGGUUUACCAGUGUUAAGCAGUUGCAGAACAAGCUGAGAUCUGCUGCAGGACGCAUUGAAACACAUCUAAUUGAAGGAGCAGGCCACUUCCAAAUGGAGGCCCCUGAUUAUGAUACUCAGAUGGUGAACCUUACCCUUACGUUUAUUGCAUCUUUAUAGGACUACUAGGUAGUCUCUGAGUUGAUAUUUAUCGCUUCUUCUUAGAACUUGAUGUAAUUGAUGUUCAUGUGAGUUAUGCUGAGUGCCAUCACGGUGAAAAUACAUCAACCAUUCCCAGUGAAUGUGGUUUUUAAAACAAAUAUUAUAACACAAUAGAAGAGAGAAUUUUACAGAGAU